rnacentral:misc_RNA from 1 species
CUGGGUGAUUGGUCAGAAUUGAGAACAUUUAACGGGAAGCUCGAGAAUACUCAAAAUCCGGAUACGAGCCUAUGUAAAAGAGGAACGUUUGUUCGGUAAAUUGGCGAUAAUCUGCGUUUGCCAAACCCAGUGUUCAUUUAGAAAAGGACCGACGCAUGCGUUCGCAUCCUGACGGACAUAUCAGCAGGUUCAUAAAGUGGUGGGAGAGCCAGGCACGUGUGAAACAGCUGUAGAUUUAAUCAGUGUAUAGAGCAAGUACGAGGCGACGCAUCAAUCGGUAAGCUUCUCCUGCCCAAGGAACGUAUCGUCGACUGGCGGUCAUUUUUUGUCGAGUAUCCUUCGGGGAACACCAAGUCGUGGUGAAUCAUUCGGUGCGAUGCGUUCUACGCGACAGAGGAAAGUGAAACAGGAAUAAAACCUCGUGGUGAACGGUGCAGUGAAACGCCGUAGUACCAGAUCCGUGGUAACUGUUAACGAGGAAACUGGAGAAUCACGUGCUUAAACGCUCUCACGUGGCCAUUGAUCAGGACUCCAAAUUACCACGAUGUGCUGAAACGUAUGGUUUGAAUCAGAGGAAAACUCAUUCGUAAGACGAAAGGAAAUAUUUGUGACAUGACUGGGUUCAAUGUUAAGAAAUUACUGAAGAACAGAAUUCCUGUUCUAAAGUGGUUACCCCUGUACAGAGCCAACGAUGCAUUGGGUGACCUGGUUGCGGGACUGACGGUGGGCCUGACCCUGAUACCACAGGCGAUCGCAUACGCUGGACUUGCAGGUUUGACGCCGCAGUAUGGCCUUUACAGUGCGUUCGCUGGCAGUUUCGUUUACAUAAUUUUUGGUACCUGUCGAGAAGUCAAUAUUGGCCCAACCGCAUUGAUUUCUUUGCUGACGUACACAUACGCGAGAGGUAUCCCCGAGUACGCUGUCCUCCUUUGCUUUUUGUCAGGAUGCGUUACCAUAGUCCUCGGAAUCCUCCGGUUAGGAUUCUUGGUCGAGUUCGUGUCCAUACCAGUCGUUUCUGGAUUCACAUCAGCGGCCAGCUUAAUUAUCGCCUGCAGUCAAAUCAAAAGUUUGCUGGGCUUGAAAAUACACGGAGAAAGUUUCAUUGAGAUUUGGAGAGAAUUGGCCAAGAACGUGGGUCGUACCAGGAUCCCUGACCUGAUCUUGUCUUGCUGCUGCAUUCUAAUACUGUUGACCCUGAAGAGAAUCAAAGACGUCAAGGUCUCGAAUCGAAUUUUAAGAAAAUUAACCUGGUUCCUGGGAACUGGUAGAAACGCACUCGUGGUAAUUUUAUGCGCAGCAGUGUCGUAUAUAUUUGAAAAUCGCGGUGGAGCACCUUUCAUCCUUACAGGCCACAUCGACGGCGGACUACCCUCCGUUGCUCCGCCACCCUUCUCGAUCACUGCCGGGAAUCACACUGAAACUUUUGCUGAUAUGUGCAAAAAUUUGGGCACCGGCAUUGCGAUCGUUCCACUGAUCUCCAUAAUCGGGAAUGUGGCCAUCGCGAAGGCGUUUUCUCGAGGAGAGUCACUCGAUGCCACUCAGGAAAUGCUAACUUUGGGACUAUGCAACGUUGCUGGCUCGUUCUUCCAUUCGAUGCCGGUCACGGGUUCCUUUUCCAGAAGCGCCGUGAACGACGCAUCGGGCGUAAGGACGCCCUUGGGUGGUAUCUAUACAGGUAUUCUAGUCAUUCUCGCUCUAAGCUUACUGACGCCGUACUUCUAUUACAUUCCAAGAGCGACCUUAAGUUCUGUGAUAGUUUGCGCGGUGAUAUUUAUGGUCGAGGUGAAAAUGAUACGGCCAAUUUGGAAAUGCAGCAAACGAGAUCUGAUCCCGACUUUCGCAACAUUCUUCGCAUGCUUAUUCGCCGGUGUCGAAUUGGGAAUUUUAAUAGGAGUGGCGAUUGAUCUGGCAAUAUUAAUUUAUUUUAACGCCAGGCCGACAAUAUAUAUUGAAUACAGAAAUACUCCUACGUUAAACUACAUCCUCGUGCGUCCCAGCGCCGGGUUGCUUUUCCCAGCGGUGGAUUACCUGAGGAUGUACCUGUUAGAGAACUUAGCUAAUGAUCACCAUAAAUUACUGAAAACCUUCAAGAACACGAAAAAUGUCAUUCUAGACUGCAAGCACAUCGAUAAAAUUGAUUUCACUGCGGCGCGUGUACGGAUAAUAAUCUUAAGUAGCGGGGCUUCGAAUUUGGCCUGGAUUUUACUUCUUCGAGCCUUCUUCCUUUUUACAUCAAUGUUAUAAACAUACUUCUCUUUUUCCUUUUUGUCCUGUUUACAGAGAAAAUAGCGAAGUAGAGACUUUUAUGUUACGACGAUAACGAAGAAAAAAUAUAACUCGAUUGCUCAACAAUCGCUCAAAGAUGGAUUAAAUAUGGUAAUGAGAGAUUUCAAGGAAAAGAAUCAUCAUUUGAUAAUGCUGCGAC